AUACUUACCUGGGCAGGAGAGAUACAGUGAUCCAGAAGAGGGUUUUCUUAGGGCAAGGUCCAUCCAUGCUCUCCGAAUGUGCUGGUCCUUGGUAGUUUUUCAAAUAUAGGAAACUCUGCUUCAUAGUUAAA
rnacentral:snRNA from 1 species